GGGGCCGAGAACUUCGUGGCACUCACUCAGAACAACUCGAGAUUCAUGCCCAGGUUCUCUGGUCAGGAAGCUUCAGGCUCCUCCGAGCCCACCCUGGGGACGUGCGGCACAGGGAAUCAGUGCAAGAAAAUACCAAUUCUCUGGAUCUUCUAUUUCUAACGGGAACUCAGUGGGGUCAGAGUCUUCAGUGAAUCCAUGACACAAGGUCUAGGGAGAGCCACACCAUGGCAGGAGCUCUGGGGCACUCCUGAAGUAUGGGGGAUACUGAUGGUUCUCAGAGAUGUGAGCUUGUAUGACUCCUUCCCCUGCAGGAAGGACCAAGUUCUCAGUGGAGUACAAGAUUUAACUGAUCCUCACAAAAGAAACCACAGAUCGAAGGCAAUUCUCGUGAUAUGGGCUCAAGAGAACAAGAAAGUGGAGGGGCUAACUCUCCUAACAGGAGACACAUUUGCAGGUGUAGCCUGGAGGCAAGUUUUGGUUUCACUGGAUUAG
rnacentral:lncRNA from 1 species